rnacentral:rRNA from 1 species
CCUACGGGAGGCUGCAGUGGGGAAUAUUGCACAAUGGGCGCAAGCCUGAUGCAGCCAUGCCGCGUGUGUGAAGAAGGCCUUCGGGUUGUAAAGCACUUUCAGCGGGGAGGAAGGCGGUGAGGUUAAUAACCUCAUCGAUUGACGGUACCCGCAGAAGAAGCACCGGCUAACUCCGUGCCAGCAGCCGCGGUAAUACGGAGGGUGCAAGCGUUAAUCGGAAUUACUGGGCGUAAAGCGCACGCAGGCGGUCUGUCAAGUCGGAUGUGAAAUCCCCGGGCUCAACCUGGGAACUGCAUUCGAAACUGGCAGGCUAGAGUCUUGUAGAGGGGGGUAGAAUUCCAGGUGUAGCGGUGAAAUGCGUAGAGAUCUGGAGGAAUACCGGUGGCGAAGGCGGCCCCCUGGACAAAGACUGACGCUCAGGUGCGAAAGCGUGGGGAGCAAACAGGAUUAGAUACCCUAGUAGUC